rnacentral:tRNA from 1 species
GUCUCGUUAGCUCAGUUGGUAGAGCAUCUCACUCUUAAUGAGAGGGUCCUAGGUUCGAGACCUAGACGGGACA